AACAUUGUGUGCUACGUGCACUCGCCUUGCAUGCGAGAGAUCCGGGUUCGAUUCCCGGCGGGGUCA
rnacentral:tRNA from 1 species